rnacentral:lncRNA from 8 species
AUGAAUCACCCCACUGUGUUGUUAAACUGGUUUCAUUUACACAUCACUGAUCUGGUUGUUAUUGGGUUUGUAAAUAUUGUAGCGUCCCAGGUUCCCAGACAGGUUAAUAUAAUGAAUCACCCCACUGUGUUGUUAAACUGGUUUCAUUUACACAUCACUGAUCUGGUUGUUAUUGGGUUUGUAAAUAUUGUAGCGUCCCAGGUUCCCAGACAGGUUAAUAUAAUGAAUCACCCCACUGUGUUGUUAAACUGGUUUCAUUUACACAUCACUGAUCUGGUUGUUAUUGGGUUUGUAAAUAUUGUAGCGUCCCAGGUUCCCAGACAGGUUAAUAUAAUGAAUCACCCCACUGUGUUGUUAAACUGGUUUCAUUUACACAUCACUGAUCUGGUUGUUAUUGGGUUUGUAAAUAUUGUAGCGUCCCAGGUUCCCAGACAGGUUAAUAUAAUGAAUCACCCCACUGUGUUGUUAAACUGGUUUCAUUUACACAUCACUGAUCUGGUUGUUAUUGGGUUUGUAAAUAUUGUAGCGUCCCAGGUUCCCAGACAGGUUAAUAUAAUGAAUCACCCCACUGUGUUGUUAAACUGGUUUCAUUUACACAUCACUGAUCUGGUUGUUAUUGGGUUUGUAAAUAUUGUAGCGUCCCAGGUUCCCAGACAGGUUAAUAUAAUGAAUCACCCCACUGUGUUGUUAAACUGGUUUCAUUUACACAUCACUGAUCUGGUAGUUAUUGGGUUUGUAAAUAUUGUAGCGUCCCAGGUUCCCAGACAGGUUAAUAUAAUGAAUCACCCCACUGUGUUGUUAAACUGGUUUCAUUUACACAUCACUGAUCUGGUUGUUAUUGGGUUUGUAAAUAUUGUAGCGUCCCAGGUUCCCAGACAGGUUAAUAUAAUGAAUCACCCCACUGUGUUGUUAAACUGGUUUCAUUUACACAUCACUGAUCUGGUAGUUAUUGGGUUUGUAAAUAUUGUAGCGUCCCAGGUUCCCAGACAGGUUAAUAUAAUGAAUCACCCCACUGUGUUGUUAAACUGGUUUCAUUUACACAUCACUGAUCUGGUUGUUAUUGGGUUCUUGGUGUUUGUAAAUAUUGUACAAUGUUUAUUUGUCAAAUUCUUGACACAACAAUCUUGUUUCUGUAUGAACUCAAUUCAACUGAAUGAAAUGAUGUGA